GCAAACUUGGUCAUUUAGAGGAAGUAAAAGUCGUAACAAGGUUUUCGUAGGUGAACCUGCGGAAGGAUCAUUAGUGAAUUUAUGGGAGUCCCUCUUAACCGGAGAAGGCCCAAUCCACUAUUUUUCAAACCCUAGUGCAAUUGUCCCUUUUUAUUUACCUUUUUAACCCUUUUUGCAUUUGAAAAGGUUGUUUGUGUUAAACAAAUUUUGAUAAAUGAAAGAAAAACUUUCAGCAAUGGAUCUCUUGGCUCUCGCAUCGAUGAAGAACGCAGC
rnacentral:misc_RNA from 1 species